UACGGAGGAUCCAAGCGUUAUCCGGAUUUAUUGGGUUUAAAGGGUGCGUAGGCGGACCUUUAAGUCAGUGGUGAAAGUUUGUAGCUCAACUAUAAAAUUGCCAUUGAAACUGAAGGUCUUGAGUGUAAAUGAGGUAGGCGGAAUGUGUUGUGUAGCGGUGAAAUGCUUAGAUAUAACACAGAACACCAAUUGCGAAGGCAGCUUACUAGGAUACAACUGACGCUGAGGCACGAAAGCGUGGGGAUCAAACAGG
rnacentral:rRNA from 1 species